rnacentral:rRNA from 1 species
UACGAGAACCCCAAGCGUUAUCCGGAAUCAUUGGGCGUAAAGGGUAGGUAGGUGGUCUCAUUUGUCUGGGGUGAAAGCCUCGAGCUUAACUCGAGAAGUGCCCCGGAAACGGUGAGACUGGAGUAUUGGAGAGGGUCGUGGAAUUCCCGGUGUAGCGGUGAAAUGCGUAGAGAUCGGGAGGAACACCAGAGGCGAAGGCGGCGACCUGGACAAUUACUGACACUCAACUACGAAAGCGUGGGGAGCAAACAGG